AAAAUGAGGGUGUGCUGUCUCCUGACAGGGGCUAUGGCUUCAGCGGUGGGGGAGGGAUGAGGUCGAAUCAAGAUGCUCAUUUCAGCACGCUGCAGCCCCGCUUCCGACCCUGCCAAGCCAGCCUCUGCUGUGGCUCCCCACUCAUUCUCUGGAGCCGUGAGUGGGAUGCUCCAAGUCCCAGCUGCUGACAAACCACGGCCAGAGGAAGAUAAAUGCAAGGGUCCUUAAUCCCAACUUCUUUCCAUAAUCAAGUUUUGAAGUCACAAUUAGCUGAACCUGGUUUCAGUGGAGCAGAUGGGCUCGGCUCCAGGUGGAAGCCGGCCUGUGGCAGCCAGGCAGGGGUUGGAGGGAUUGCCAGCCCUGCCAAGAGAUCAGGAGAACCCCUGCCCACUGCCCAGCCAGGGGGUGCCUUGUUUCUAGAGUCAGAUCCUCUCCCAAGUCGGCAGGGGGAGGGGUUGCUGGAUGGACACCACUGAUGGCUGCAGAUGCCCCAACAUGAGUCUUCAGCCCCAGUGGUCUCCAGUUUUAAGACCUUGUUCCAAGUCUUUACUGCCCACCCUUGGAUGGAGCAUCUCAAGACACCUUGACAAGAACCAGGGGCAGCUCAGACAGACAAGUCCUCCUUGAAAUCACUCCAUAGCAUGUUCCUAGUUCUGCUAGACUGAUAUAGUUCAUUCCCUCAUUCAGCAUCUCUGUAGAGACCCACAUUUUACCAGGCUCAUGGCUGGGCACAGAAACACAGAAGCUCCCUGGCUGGGCCCAGUGGGGCCCGGAUAUGCAAAGCCCCGCUCUGGUCUCUUUUGGAGACGACCAGCCAGCAUCUCUUCCUUCUUGAGUCCUCCUGCAUUUGAAGAAUUGACAAACACACCAGGGGGCAUGACCCCACCUCAGGAUCCUGGGCCACACCAGGGACAUGAUAACAAAAAAUGGCCCCACAGUGGAGGGCCAGGAUCUGGAUUCCUCUUUCUCUGGGAAUACCUCUCUCAGCCACCCCCAUUCCUCAAGGCUGGAGAAGGACUCUUUCUCGUCACCUGCUCCUUUUCCAUCCAUUAA
rnacentral:lncRNA from 1 species